UACGUAGGGCGCAAGCGUUGUCCGGAAUCAUUGGGCGUAAAGCGCGCGUAGGUGGCUUCGUAAGUCCGUUGUGAAAGUCAAAGGCUCAACCUUUGAAUGCCGAUGGAUACUGCGGAGCUAGAGUACGGAAGAGGCGAGUGGAAUUCCUGGUGUAGCGGUGGAAUGCGCAGAUAUCAGGAGGAACACCAAUAGCGAAGGCAGCUCGCUGGGACGUUACUGACACUAAGGCGCGAAAGCGUGGGGAGCGAACGAGG
rnacentral:rRNA from 1 species